rnacentral:rRNA from 1 species
AGAGAGAGACAUGCGCGCAUAUCAAUAAGCGGAGGAAAAGAAACUAACUAGGAUUCCCUCAGUAACGGCGAGUGAAGCGGGAAGAGCUCAAAUUUGAAAUCUUCAAGGUUCUACCUUGACGAAUUGUAGUUUAAAGAAGUGUUUUCUGUUGGAGUUUUGGUAAAAGUUCUUUGGAAUAGGACAUCAUAGAGGGUGAGAAUCCCGUAUUUGACCAUUAUUUCCAGCUUUGUGAUACACUUUCAAAGAGUCGGAUUGUUUGGGAAUGCAGUCCAAAAUGGGUGGUAAAUUUCAUCUAAAGCUAAAUACUGGCGAGAGACCGACUAGCGAACAAGUACCGUGAGGGAAAGAUGAAAAGAACUUUGAAAAGAGAGUUAAACAGUACGUGAAAUUGUCAAAAGGGAAGCGUUUGACACCAGUGUUGUUUUCUCGAAAAUCAAUUAAAAAAGGCAGGAUUUUGUGUUGUAUUGACUUUAUCAGCUUUCUGCACUCUUUUCUUGUCUUUUUUUAAUGCACUUUUCGUUUAACAAGUCAACAUCAAUUUCUUUUGUUGUAAAAGGGUCAUUGGAAGGUGGCUUUCUUUUCGGAGAAAGUGUUUAUAGCCUUUGGCCUCUGCAAUCGGAGAGAUUGAGGUCUGCAGCGUAGAUCCUUCGGGGUUAGAUACAUUUGUGCUAAGUUAUAGCCUUUCAUAGACAACUUGUUGACUAUGAUCAGUCAUGUAGCUUACUCGCUUAUGCUAUUUUACCUACGCUUAGGAUGUUGAUGUGAUACUGCGAGCA